rnacentral:tRNA from 1 species
CCAGGGGUGCCGGAGUGGCAAUCGGAGCAGACUGUAAAUCUGCUGGCGCAAGCCUUCGCAGGUUCGAAUCCUGCCCCCUGGACCA